CACGUAGGGGCCAAGCGUUUGUCCGGAUUUAUUGGGCGUAAAAGAGCUCGUAGGCGGCUCGGUAAGUCAGGUGUGAAACCUCCAGGCUCAACCUGGAGACGCCACCUGAUACUGCUGUGGCUAGAGUCCGGUAGGGGAGCGUGGAAUUCCCGGUGUAGCGGUGAAAUGCGCAGAUAUCGGGAGGAACACCGGUGGCGAAGGCGGCUCUCUGGACCGACACUACGCUGAGGCGCGAAAAGCGUGGGGGAGCAAACAGGAUUAGAAAACCCCG
rnacentral:rRNA from 1 species